GACUCGUUAGCGCAGUAGGCAGCGCGUCAGUCUCAUAAUCAAAUCUAGAAAUCUGAAGGUCAUGAGUUCGAUCCUCACACGGGGCA
rnacentral:tRNA from 1 species